GACGAACGCUGGCGGCGUGCUUAACACAUGCAAGUCGAACGGAAAGGCCCUGCUUUUGUGGGGUGCUCGGGUGGCGAACGGGUGAGUAACACGUGAGUAACCUGCCCUUGACUUUGGGAUAACUUCAGGAAACUGGGGCUAAUACCGGAUAGGAGCUCCUGCUGCAUGGUGGGGGUUGGAAAGUUUCGGCGGUUGGGGAUGGACUCGCGGCUUAUCAGCUUGUUGGUGGGGUAGUGGCUUACCAAGGCUUUGACGGGUAGCCGGCCUGAGAGGGUGACCGGCCACAGUGGGACUGAGAUACGGCCCAGACUCCUACGGGAGGCAGCAGUGGGGAAUAUUGCACAAUGGGCGGAAGCCUGAUGCAGCAACGCCGCGUGCGGGAUGACGGCCUUCGGGUUGUAAACCGCUUUCGCCUGUGACGAAGCGUGAGUGACGGUAAUGGGUAAAGAAGCACCGGCUAACUACGUG
rnacentral:rRNA from 1 species